CUUCUUGCGUGAUGAUACAAGCAAAACAAGCAUAGUUCACACUGAAACGAUCGUGUUGACAACCUAUAUCUAUUCGUCUUUCGCUCCUAUCUGAUCCAUCUC
rnacentral:snoRNA from 1 species